rnacentral:tRNA from 1 species
GAGGAUGUAGCUCAGUGGUAGAGUGCAUGCCCAGCAUGUGUGAGGCUCUGGGUUCAAAUCCUAGUAUUGCUU